CUCAGGAUGAACGCUAGCGGCAGGCCUAACACAUGCAAGUCGAGGGGUAACAGGAGUAGCAAUACUCGCUGACGACCGGCGCACGGGUGAGUAACGCGUAUGCAACCUACCUUUAACUGGGGCAUAGCUCCGAGAAAUCGGGAUUAAUACCCCAUAAUGUUACAAGUUCGCAUGUUAUUGUAACUAAAACUCCGGUGGUUAAAGAUGGGCAUGCGUGUCAUUAGCUUGUUGGUGAGGUAACGGCUCACCAAGGCUACGAUGACUAGGGGGUCUGAGAGGAUGAUCCCCCACACUGGUACUGAGACACGGACCAGACUCCUACGGGAGGCAGCAGUGAGGAAUAUUGGUCAAUGGGCGAAAGCCUGAACCAGCCAUGCCGCGUGCAGGAUGACAGCCCUAUGGGUCGUAAACUGCUUUUAUACGGGAAGAAACCCCUGAUCGUGAUCGGGGCUGACGGUACCGUAGGAAUAAGGAUCGGCUAACUCCGUGCCAGCAGCCGCGGUAAUACGGAGGAUCCUACCGUUAUCCGGAUUUAUUGGGUUUACAGGGUGCGUAGGCGGACUCAUAAGUCAGUGGUGACAUCCUGCAGCUUAACUGUACAAUUGCCAUUGAUACUGCUAUUCGUGAAUGCAGGUUGAGGUAGGCGGAAUGUGUAAUGUAGCGGUGAAAUGCUUAGAUAUUACCCAGGACACCGAUUGCGUAGGCAGCUUGCUAAACUGUGAUUGACGCUGAGGCACGAAAGCGUGGGUAGCAAACAGGAUUAGAUACCCUGGUAGUCCACGCCGUAAACGAUGAUUACUCGAUGUGUGCAAUAUAUCGUACGCGUCUGAGCGAAAGCAUUAAGUAAUCCACCUGGGGAGUACGGCCGCAAGGUUGAAACUCAAAGGAAUUGACGGGGGCCCGCACAAGCGGAGGAACAUGUGGUUUAAUUCGAUGAUACGCGAGGAACCUUACCUGGGCUUAAAUGUAUUCUGACGUUCCGGGAAACUGGAAUUCCAUUCGGGGCAGAUUACAAGGUGCUGCAUGGUUGUCGUCAGCUCGUGCCGUGAGGUGUCGGGUUAAGUCCCAUAACGAGCGCAACCCCUAUUGUUAGUUGCCAGCGGAUAAUGCCGGGGACUCUAACGAAACUGCCAGUGUAAACUGUGAGGAAGGUGGGGAUGACGUCAAAUCAGCACGGCCCUUACGUCCAGGGCUACACACGUGUUACAAUGGUCGGUACAAAGGGCAGCUACCACGCGAGUGGAUGCUAAUCUCCAAAACCGAUCUUAGUUCGGAUUGAAGUCUGCAACUCGACUUCAUGAAGCUGGAUUCGCUAGUAAUCGCACAUCAGCCAUGGUGCGGUGAAUACGUUCCCGGGCAUUGUACACACCGCCCGUCAAGCCAUGGAAGCCGG
rnacentral:rRNA from 1 species